rnacentral:lncRNA from 1 species
GCUGGGAUUACAGGCGUGAGCCACGGCGCCCGGCUGUUUUUCUUUUUGGUAGAGGGCAUGAGAGGUAGCUGGCUUGCCACAUGCCGAUCCAACAUCCUGAUUUUUCAUCAAGAGGCUGAAUAGCCAAGAUUUUUGUGGCUAGAUGAAUGAGAAUUGGUCAGAGAUUACAAGACUGAAUAAGAUAGACAUGACCUCCUUCCUCCUGGACCUGACAAUUGUUCCUUCAAAUCACUUCCACACAUGCAUUGCCUGGGGACUGGGGACUGGGGUCUGGAUCCCAUGGCCAGACCAAACCCCAAAGGAAGCUAUUGGAGAAUACACACCUUCGAAAUGCGGAGAAAUAUAAGAAAAGGAAGACAAGAGUUCAAGAAGCCAGGCAUCCAACAAUAAUAACUAAAGAGGCAAGGUAAUUCUCAGGAUGAUGUAACAGAAAGUCCAGACUGGUGAAUGACAAUGAAGAACUACAAGAGGUUUGUACUCUGAAAAGAAGAAGGAAAAAAGUGGAACUCACAGUUUGUCUAAAGUUUUUGACCAUGUUUCAAGGAAGUAUAUGGUUCUGUGCAAAGUUAGCAAAAGGUACAUUAAAAAAAUGAGAAAACAACAAAAUCAGGCAAUUACCAACUAAAAGUAUAAAGAAUUUGGUACAAAAAAGGAAAUUAAUAAUACACUACAUGCUAACUUGUUAACAAUUUUUACAUAGUACCAAUACAAUAAAUACAAUGUUAAUUUCAAACUGCAAUUAAUUAUGCUGGAAGGAUGUGGGAGUGUUAAGAGAGUUAAAUUAAAAUCUUCAUAACAGGAAGUCAACAGAUAAUACCUACUGAAUAUUUCUACUUUUUGGAGGGAUGUUGGGUUGGGGAACUACUGUUUCAUUUCCUUAAAGUACUAUUUGGCUUUUUAAAUUGCCUGUACACAUGCAUAUGCAUACAUAGUCUAAAGUUAAAUUUUUAAAACCACAUAUAAAAGCCAUGUGGGAAAAGAAUUAUUGUGAAUGCUUAGUAAAAGAAUGUAUGCACAGCACAUAAUACAAUGUUGAUACAUCAUAGAGUAUUAAUAAAGUCCCCAAGAUUUGCCUGCUUGGGAUAGUCUUAUUAACAAAAGUUAAUCUUGUUAAUAAAACAGUCAACAAAUAUAUAAAUCUUUACUCAUCAGUCCCUAGUAAAAUUUUCCAACUGUUGUGGAAGAUAUAAAGAAAUAUGAAACAUAAUCCUUACAUUAAAAUACCUUCUAAUAAGUUAUGGCAGUUAAUAUUUAAUUGGUGUUAUAUGUACAGUAGGCACUGUCCCAAGUUCUUUACAUAUUAUCUCUUUUAAUUCUAUGAGAUAGACAUUAUUAUCUCCAUUUUAUUAUAUAAAUGAGGAAACUGAGGCACACUAAAAUGAAGUAACUUGUCCAGGUCAUGGAGCUCAUAAGAGAGGGAGGUAGGAUUCCAGUCCAAGCAGAAGGCGAGGGAGUCUCAGAUUGCUUUAUAAUCUAAUUGAGGGGAAGAAGAAACAGAGCUAAACAACCUUAUAUGAUUUAAGGAGGAGUUCAACAUAAUACUGGAAGAGAUGUCACAAACUAAUGCAAGCAUACUUUAGGGGAAAUUGCUGUAUUACACUAGGAGAUCAGAAGAGAGUGCAAACCCUUCAGACUGAUAGCCAAGGAAGCAUUUAAUUGGACCAGCUGGCUGGGGAGGGCAUUCCUUGUAAGUGAAUCAACACGCAGAGGUGGUAACCAUAGCAUGCCAGGGAUCAGCGAGGAAGGUAAUUUGACUAGAGCAUAGCACAUUUUGUUCAUCCACAAAUAAAACCUGUGAGAUCAAAGCAGGAAAGGCCUAAUAACAAAUUAUAAAUGGCCUUGAAAGCAGACUAAGAAGCUUGGACUUUAUUUUGUGAAAACGGGAAGUGAUUGCUGAGCAUGUGCACUUAAUCUGGACAUUGUACAUGUAAUCAGCUGACAGGAAGAGAACAAGUAACGGCUUAUUGUGGCAGUCUGGAUAAGAUUUAUCAAAAUCUCAAACUAGCCUGGGGUAAGUGAGAGUGGAAUUGGCUGGAUCCUGGAUGAGAAGUCCCACAAGGACUUACAGAAACAAUUUGCAUUUUAUCUUUCUACCAAGGAGAAAAGUUUUUCAAACUACAAAGGCUAGAUAUAAUUAAAAGGGAAUUAAAUUUCAAAAAGUUCAAGUAAGAGUAUCUGCUUUGAAAAAAUGAGUUUCUAGGUUUCAAUAAGUUACAACAUAGCAUAAUCAAAUACUUAACUAUUAUGAUUAUGAAUUGGCUGGCAGGAUUUCUUUUAAAAUGAAAGUAAAGCUUUCUAGAUGUAACAAUAAAGCAUGCUCAAUAUGGAAAAAAUAUACAAAGAAAAAAAUCAGCAAACUUAUUCACAUACCCUUAGUUUGGUUAUUUUUUUUCAGUCUUUUCUAUGAAUAACUUUGUUUCCAUGUUAAUACAAAGUUACAAUUGAUUAUCAUAUUAUAUAUAGAAGAUAUAAUUUUCUUCUUGCUUAAACAUUUUAAUAAAACAUUUUUCAGUCUUUUCUUUGAAUAACUUUGUUUCCAUGUUAAUACACAGUUACAAUUGAAUUUUCUUCUUGCUUAAACUUUUUUUUUUUUUUUUUUUGAGAUGGGGUCUCACUCUAUCGCCCAGGCUGGAGUGCAGUGGCCCGAUCUUGGCUCACUGAAAACUCCGCCUCGCAGGUUCAUGCUAUUCUCCUGCCUCAGCCUC